rnacentral:sRNA from 1 species
GGGGAAGGAUGAGAAGCUUCGACUAAGGUUCGACUCGAGCGCCAGCGAGAGAGCGUUGCCGCAGGCAACGACCCGAAGGGCGAAGCGCGCAGCGCUAGUAAUCCUUCCCCCACCACCA